rnacentral:tRNA from 1 species
CCUUCGAUAGCUCAGUUGGUAGAGCGGUGGACUGUAGUUGGAAAAAAAUGGACUUAAAAGAAAUCCAUAGGUCGCUGGUUCAAAUCCGGCUCGAAGGA